ensembl:lncRNA
GGCAAGAAGGACCUGGGGAAUUCUCUCAGCGCGUUUCUCAGCCGUAGUGCUGCGUGCAUCGUACCCUCUAGCGGUAUCAUGGACGGACCAAACUUGAUGGAGAAUGGAAAGAGCCCACGGGAAAGGAAAUUCACAGGCUUUCAAGUGGUUUUUUAUACUUUUGUAUUUUUGUUGACUAUUGUUUCAGCCCUGGUUUCUAUAGUCUUCAGUUUGCUCCAUCAUAAGCAGGCUUCGGGAUUUUGCUGGGCACAUGGAACGUUAGCUGAAUCUUCUACACAAAACUCAGCUAUCCUGAGCUGGAACUGGAAAUUGAAGAACUGCAAUGGAUUUGUGCAGAAGGACCACGACCAGUUCCUCAUAAUCGAGCAGACUGGCACUUACUUCAUCUAUGCUCAGGUCAACCGCAUAAAGGAAACGGACAAGUCUUUUAUACUGACGCUGCUCAAAGACCCAGAUACCACCCUCGACAAGGUUGGGGGACCAAAAAAUGGAAGUGAUAUGACCACGUUAAAUUUCGCGAGACCCUUUUUCCUGAACAAAGGAGAUAGGCUGCACUGCAAGAAAAAUUUCGAUCUUGACAAGAUUCUGUUAGGGAAUCAGAGUUAUUGGGGCCUGUUUAAAAUGUAGCAGGAUCUGCUCUGAGUCAGCUCCUCCCUUAUUUCCUCCAGGAAACCUUAGGACAUGAAUGAAGAAUCUGCAAUUUCUCUUUGGGUGAAAUUCAACUUGCUGAAAUACACGCCAUAGUAGGCUUGCAUCCUACAGCGAAUAUCAAACUUUGGUAAUAACGGAUGGCACCUGAUUGUCACAAAGUAUGAGGAAAAGAUGCUUCUUGGAGGAAAAAAGUCUUGAUGCAUUAUGGGGUUGACUCUGAGAUCUUGGAAAAACAAGUCACUGUAUUCAAUCUCUUUAGAGGUGAGGAGGAGCUCUGCUCUGCAGCUGGCUGCAUUUCAGAGCUGGGUACACGUCAGUCCCUUGGAUCCCUUCUCAUGACAGGUGUUAUGCAAAGCUAAGAUAUUUUAUAUCCUUCUCACGCAACCUGCUGGUGAAACAAUGUGUCCACAGCAGAAGGACAGAAACAUUCUGUGACAAAAGGAAAGCUGCUCAGCCCCAUCCACAGCCUUGCCACUAGUAAGAGAAACACCUUGUACCUGUCUGCAUGGGUAGUUCAGAGCACAAGGACCUUCCCACUGAAGCCCAAGCAGUGCAGCACCUCUGUGAAUCCAGGCUAGCUCUGGCAUGUGUGCCACGGCCCAGACAUGCCCACCACAGUGAGCCUGUGAAUGUGACUGAUGCAGCUGCCACAAGGGAUGGAUCACUGCUGGCUGAGCAGCACAGACGUGCAACCGAGUUUGCUGUAUGGAACAGAGACCGUGGAGGAGAGCUAAUGAUAGAAAGAUGCAUAUGAGGAGAGUGAGCACAGAGUGGAGAGCAGAGGAUGGAGACUUGGAGAACUGUUCCCAGAAUUUUUUUUAACUGUGCUGUGUAGUGGGUGUUGCAAGCAGGGCAGGGCAGGGCAGACACAGCCUUGACAUGAGAUGGGGAGAGGCUGAGCAUCCCUCCCUAAUCACCUCCUUCCCACAGACACAGCUUUGACAUCCAGCACAAAGCACUGGCUGUGAUCUAGUGGGGAAGCAGGACACCCUUCACCUGCUCGGGGAACCAGCAGGUGCUGCUCAUUUCAAGGCCUACCUGCUGUGCUUCCCAAAAUGAACACCAAAUCACCUGCAGAUCACAGGAACACUUCAAAACCUCAACAAAGACAAAGUGCUCUCAGAAAAGCAGGCUGCUGUGGCUGCAUGACAGCCCAGCUGUCCCACGAUGUGGUUCCUCUCCCUUGUCUGGGCAGGCUUUCCCAGGGGCUCUAUGCUUUGCUUUUCUGCCUCCUGGACCUUUAUGGAUGAAAACUUCUCUACCGUUCCUCACAGCAUGUCACAGCCUUGGGAAUGGAUUUACAUGGAAAAGCAAAGCAACUGAGAGGCUGGCUGGAAAUAUAUAAUGAUUUGGGGUGGGUUGGGGCAGUUAGGGGUGCUAUUUGCUCUUAUAAUUUUAUAUUCUAUAUAUUGUAACUCUAGAUCAUGAACAGUCAACUUUUUGCAGACAAGUCUGCAGUCUUACGUUCAGUUUCAUACAAGCUGUUAUUGAUUGAAACGAUACUCUUGUUCUUACAUCGCUUUGUUGAUUUCCCUUAGUUUAAAAUAAAACGAAAAGAAAAUCACA